UGCAGAAUCCCGUGAAUCAUCGAGUCUUUGAACGCAAGUUGCGCCCGAUGUCAUUCGACAAAGGGCACGCCUGCCUGGGCGUCACGUCUUGCGUCGCUCGGUGCCAACUACGCCUGUGGGUCGAAAGUGUUGGCACGGAUGUGGAGAUUGGCCUCCCGUGUCCUUGUGCGUGCGCGGUAGGUUGAAGAGUGGGAUGCCAAUGGAGACGGACACGGCGAGUGGUGGAUACGAGCCGGACGUCGUGGUCUCGUCCUCUAAAGGCUCGGGGGCCCCUUGUGACACCCAGUAUGGUCGCGCUGUACGCGUUGCCUAGUAUUGCGACCCCAGGUUAGGCGAGAACACCCGCUGAAUUUAAGCAUAUCAAUAAGCGGAGGAGAAGAAACUUACGAGGAUUCCCUUAGUAACGGCGAGCGAACCGGGACAAGCCCACCUUGAGAAUCGGACGGCUUCGUCGUUCGA
rnacentral:rRNA from 1 species